rnacentral:rRNA from 1 species
UACAGAGGUGGCAAGCGUUGUUCGGAAUUACUGGGCGUAAAGGGCGCGUAGGCGGCCUUCUAAGUCAGACGUGAAAUCCCCCGGCUUAACCUGGGAACUGCGUUUGAUACUGGGAGGCUUGAGUAUGGGAGAGGGAUGUAGAAUUCCAGGUGUAGCGGUGAAAUGCGUAGAUAUCUGGAGGAAUACCGGUGGCGAAGGCGGCAUCCUGGACCAUAACUGACGCUGAGGCGCGAAAGCUAGGGGAGCAAACGGG